ensembl:lncRNA
UGUGGACUCCCCAUGGGUACAGCUGGCAUCACACAGGUGGAAGGGAGAUCUGCAGCCAGGCAAACACCCCUUGGACAUCCAUGCCCUGGAGGUGGGCCACAGUUUCAAAAGGACUUAAAAAACAUAGCAACAACACAUUCCAACACUUCCUUCUGCUUAUGGGAAAGCACCCUGCCCUCCAAACCUAGCGCCUGGAAAAUGCGAAUUUCUCAGCCCACACUGAAGCCUUCUGGAGUAAAGCUAUUUGUGUGCAGUGAGGAGUGCAUCAUGCUUUGGCCAUAACUGGAAUGUGCACAGCUUUGUGAAGUUUCUCAGAAUGACUCAAAGAGUGGAAGCAAAUAAAAAACCACAGAGAUAUUUGUGUCUUCA